AUUCUUUGUGUAUUUUACAAGAAAAAAUAAAUAAAUUCUUCGAUGGGAAGUACGAAUUCAAGAAACAAAGGGAAAUAACAUAAGAUCAGGGUAGUACUUCGGGAAUAAGGUGAACUGCUUAUUGAUGCUUUAGUAGUGCUAUUACUAUCUAUUCAUCACUUUAGAAGGCGAAAAAUUACUCCAAAACUGAUUUUUUCGUUCACCAUUCGUGAGGUAGACCUCAAUUCAUGCUCAAAAUAAUAUAUCUGAAGAGUGCGAUUACUAAUUUAAUUUUUCUAAGAGGUUUUGCACUUUUCGGGAAGAUUUGAAUAAUGUCUCAACUAUAGAGGUUAGGAAAUUUAUUCGAUUUAUGGAGAAAAAAAACUGCAGAUACGAAGUAUCAAUUAUAGCUAUAUAGAAAAAACACUUUGCAUUUUCAAAAAUACCACACACUUGAUCUUUUUAUAUCUGUAUAAGGAAAAUAUGGAAAAAUACGAGGAGUAUGCAGAAGUUCUAGAUGGCGUAGUUUAUGAACAAGAAAGAAAAUAUGAAUAAUCGCCUAUUGAAAAUAAACAAACGUUCAUAAGCUGGCAAACGCUAAGUCCCUUUCAAGGGAGAACUAUCCCACUUCAAUGUUGUUUGCUAAAACAUUUUUGUAACAGAGAAGAUCAAACAAUUUCUACUUCGAUCUGAGAUUAAUGAUAAAGGAAAAUCAGUCGUUUGAAGCUUGUAAAUGACAAUGUCGAAAGAAUGCAAGAUUUUAAUGGCAUUAUCAAGGCUCUAAGGAGGAGCCAAAACAAUUUGUGUUGCUCUGUGUCUAAGAACUUCAUUGGUGCGACCCGGACAAACACCUUUACUAGGAAGAAAAAAAUCUCCAGCACAUGCAUCUGAACCAAAACAGAGCGGAACUAUUUGAACUUCGGAACAAACACGAGAAGGAAACCAAGCAGUCUAAUAGUGAGCAGAAAAUUUGUAGGAAAGAACUGGGAUUGUAGCCCAAAAAUCCGGCAGUGCAUGGGAACAAAGAUCACGUGUGGAGAAGAGAUAAUGGACAAUUGAUACAACUGAUCUGUACGCCACGAGAAUGAAUCUUGAAAGUACAAAAAAUGAUAUGUACAUGAACAAUUGGGUCUAUGAGAACAUGCCUAAUAGCUGAACUAAAAAUGAUUAUAAAUCUUAUACACUUACAUGAAUUACUGGGAAAUGUGACUGAAGGAACUUCACUUAGAAUGCUUAGAGAAGAAGUUGUCAGGGAUGAGCCGAAACCGCCCUCAAAUCCGUGAUCAAAUUUUGGAAAAGCGGCAGGAAUAAAUAGCAAUAAAGGUACAGUUUAAGAAAACAUUCACCUUAAAUUUAAUGUUGUGAAA